rnacentral:rRNA from 1 species
UACGAAGGGGGCUUGCGUUGCUCGGAAUCACUGGGCGUAAAGCGCACGUAGGCGGGUCCUUAAGUCAGGGGUGAAAUCCCGGAGCUCAACUCCGGAACUGCCUUUGAUACUGGGGAUCUUGAGUCCGGAAGAGGUGAGUGGAACUCCGAGUGUAGAGGUGAAAUUCGUAGAUAUUCGGAAGAACACCAGUGGCGAAGGCGGCUCACUGGUCCGGUACUGACGCUGAGGUGCGAAAGCGUGGGGAGCAAACAGG